UGAAAGGUGGACCGCAGAAGGUGAUAGUCCUGUAGUGACGUAGUGAGGGAGCCCUAGAGUAGGGUCGAGCUCGUGAAACUCGGCUUGAAUAUGGGGGGCCCACCCCCCAAGGCUAAAUACUACUCGAUGACCGAUAGUUGACCAGUAAGGCGACUGAACGGUGAAAAGUUCCCCGAUAAGGGAAGUUAAAAGUACCUGAAACCAUACGCUUACAAGCGAUCGGAGCCCAAUAAUUGGGUGACGGUGUGCCUUUUGCAUAAUGAGCCU
rnacentral:rRNA from 9 species